GAUGAACGCUGGCGGCGUGCCUAAUACAUGCAAGUCGAGCGAACAGACGAGGAGCUUGCUCCUCUGACGUUAGCGGCGGACGGGUGAGUAACACGUGGAUAACCUACCUAUAAGACUGGGAUAACUUCGGGAAACCGGAGCUAAUACCGGAUAAUAUAUUGAACCGCAUGGUUCAAUAGUGAAAGACGGUUUUGCUGUCACUUAUAGAUGGAUCCGCGCCGCAUUAGCUAGUUGGUAAGUUAACGGCUUACCAAGGCAACGAUGCGUAGCCGACCUGAGAGGGUGGUCGGCCACACUGGAACUGAAACACGGUCAAGACUCCUACGGGAGGCAGCAGUAGGGAAUCUUCCGCAAUGGGCGAAAGCUUGACGGAGCAACGCCGCGUGAGUGAUGAAGGUCUUCGGAUCGUAAAACUCUGUUAUUAGGGAAGAACAAAUGUGUAAGUAACUAUGCACGUCUUGACGGUACCUAAUCAGAAAGCAACGGCUAACUACGUG
rnacentral:rRNA from 1 species